AGCUGGAGCUUUGCUUGCCCUCCCAGGGGCCGUGAUGCCUGGCUGGAGGAGGGAGGAGGUGGUGUGGAUGCUGCCCAUCCAAAGCCACCUCGGUGUAACGGUUCCUGAAACAUAGCUCUUCCCUUGGGCCCUGGUGCUCCCCUCACUUCUGUUUUUAGUGGAGGUACCCCAAAACCUGGCAAUAGAAGUAUUUUCUCAGCUGAGGGUGUGUGUUUCUGGCAACGGGCUGAAUCCGAGCAAACCUGUGUCAGAAGCAAUGCUGCAGAAGGGAGCACCACCAGGCUCUGCGCAGGACCUGGCCCUUCCUCGAGGCAGAGUAGGCGAAGGAUGAAAAAUCAGAGUAAUGGCCAAGGAGACAGCAUCCACUUGACUUCUCUUGCCCAUGGCGGGAGUGAUUAAUCUAGCUAAGGCAUUGCAGCAAGGCGAGACCACAAGGUUACUCAGCCCAAAGCCCGUGUGCUCCAGGACCUCAGGACGAUGCUGGACCAGCAGCCGCAAGCGUAACAAACCGCUGAGGUCUGAUCCUGCCGGCAAGCGCCGUGAAGUGAGAGCGAUCUGUCUGCCGGCAGUCUCCACUCCGGGGUCGGAGCGGGGCAGUGGUCCAUAGGAGGCUGCUGGAAUUCUGUAUUGCAAAGGGCACGGCUGUCACCUUCAGGGAAAGGCUCUGAGCCUUGCACUGUGGCUCCGGCAGAUGUUGGAGGAGAAUCACCCCGCACCGAGCCAGCGUGCCCCUCGUUUGGCUGUGGCUGUUUGAUGCCAACGAUAACGAGCAGCUUGGGAGGACGUUUUUUGUUGGUAGCUGGUGAUGCCUGUUUACUAAAGGCUGCUGAAUAGGAAAGGGAACAAGGUCUUGGCCUCCCCGCCUGGGAGCAGGACCUUCUGUCCCUUGGACACGUGUGGCUGGCAGGGUGUCUGAGUAAUGACAUCCCGGGGAAGAUGCUGUCUGCAGUCCUGGGUUUGAGAAGCCACGAAGGGUGGGUGAUGCAGUGCAGAUGGCAUUGAGGGGAUGGGUGCCUGCCUCCCCCAUUAUUUAUUAUGCCAUAAAAUCCAAGGUAACGUACAUCAAUAAAUGCUGCAAAGGGUUUCAUGCGUGUCAGCCACGCGUAUGUGGCAGAGCAGACGCUCUUUCAAGACAAGGGGCUCCGUGAGCGGAGGCUGGUGUGAUUGAUAGGGCAGCCUUCAGCGCCUGCACCUUCGCUUGGCUGUAACACAGAUCUGCUUCCCCAGAGCACCCCAUCACCGUGGGCUGGGAAGGCAGGGUCCCUCUGGGCAGCGGGGUCCCACCUGCGUGGGUACCUGCUGUGAGGGGGUUUUUUUGCAGGCUCUGUGCUCAGAGCUGCUCGCCUGUGUGUGACGAUGGCCAAUGCCAUCCCCAAGGCAGGGUCGAAUGCCCGGGGAGGCAGGGAGCACUGGGGAGCUGCUUGGAGGAGCCAAGGUUCCCACUGGCUGAUUUUCCCAGGGAACAAGAUGUGUGCCAUCACGCUUUUUAUGUGCCUGUACAUCUGACAGCUCCUGAGCCCCUCAGAUGGUCUCAGCCGCGUGUGACAGCAGAGCUGUCACCAAUGCUGACGGGAGAUGUUCCUAACGCGGAGAUGUUCCUACACAGAGACGUUCCCGCGUGUCCCGUGAAACGCAGAGCCAGGUGGGAGAGGGUGACGGUGAGCAUCACCAUGGAGGGACAAGCCAGCACGCACACACCCCCAGGACACGCAGGAACGAGUCCUAGACGCGUGUGGCCCUCUCGUGGGUGAAAGCUUGGGCAGGCGGCGACAACUUAGACGUCAAACUUGGGUGAACCAGGAGACAUAAAUCCCGCUAUUUGGGAUUAGUGCAGGUAAUUUGUUUUAAAGACAGACAAAUCCCUUCCCUGUAGGUGUCUGCUUGUCACAGGAGACAUUCCUCACCUCCAGGAGAGUUACCCCAGUUGAACAGAUCCAGCCCUUUCUGGGGACACAGUCUCCGGAGUUGCUAAUCACUGGGUUUGGGGAUUUUUUUCCUAACACUUGUGGGUGAUGCCUCCCUUUUGUCUCUCUGCAACAUCACAGGGUUGGGAAGGACCAGCUGCUGAUUUGAUUAAUGGCCCUUUUCUGAAACAGCAACAGAGACAAAUGUCCUCCUGAACGUGGCAAAGAGAAAUGGAGAAACAGACUGGCUAAUUUUCAGCUAUUAUUUGGGAACCCAAACUCCUUCCCAGUAUCAAUUUAGCUAUUAUUUCAAAAACUAAUUAAUCUUCACUGAGGCAGCUCUAAGGGACCUGUGUUUAGAUAAUUAACAGCCCAUGGAUUAUGAAAAAGUCGUGCUUUUGGAUCCUACUACAGUGCUUGCCUUCGAGAACACGCCUGCUAUCAUCCUGCUUACCAACUCCUUUCAUCAAUCCAUCUUAUUUUGACAAUUAAGAGCAAAUAAUUAGCCAUGAUGGAUUUUGCUUGCUUUCUUGCAGCUCAGUUCCUUUUUCUUUUGGUCCUUAAAUGUUCUUCAGCUGGGCAAUUUUUUUGGUGGUUUUGCAGCUAAUUACAGCCAAGCAGGGCAAGUCACUGCUGUUACCAAGAGGAUCUGGAGAAAGGUUUUAUUUGGCUUGUGGAGAAGCUGGGCAGCAAGGUAUGCGAAAGGAGAUCCUAGAAGGAUAGGGGAUGGGAUUUUUUUUUUUCCUCUCUCCAGUCUUGCACGAUGCAACGUGAACUCACCCCCCCGUAUUGCCGUGCCGGCGCUGGGCUCACCUCCCUCCCUGGGGAAUCUCAUCCUGGCCUCUCGCUUUGCCACCGCAGCUUUGAUCCUCCUGUUGCUCUGGAUGGGCGAGAUGUCCCCGGGCUGUCAGGGCUGUGGGAGAGCUCUGCGCAGCAAAGCAAAGGCGAUGGGGUGGCAUAGACCCAGAGGCAGCAGUGGAGCAGGUCUGCAACCCGUGCAGACCCCGAGCAGCUCCCGUCCGUGCCCUGCGUGCUCACUGGCUGCGGGGAAGAGAAUACGGGCUGGCAGCGCUAGCGGAGCGAUGCCGUGCUUAAUGAAUUUGAACGGCAGCCACAGAUGACAGCACUCUGCCCAUUACAUCCACCGAGUGCUGCAAUUCUUCAUUAAGCAGCCCAGAGUUUGCUUGCUCUUCUGCUGAGGGCAAAGGAGCCAGAGCGGACUUUGAGCUGUGUUUCCUGGGAUCCCGAGCUACUGAUGGACCAUUCUUGGUGCCCUUGCAAAACCUGAUGCUGUGCCCAUGCCAGCACGGGGAGAUUUCCAACCAAACCUCCCCAUCUUGGGGUUAGUUCAUUGAAGGAAGCAAAGAGGAUUUUAAACCCUCCCAUCCCGUGGUGCCUACAAGCCAGGUGGGAGAUGGAUGUGGCUGUGGCCACCCACAUUUGGGACUCUCCAGAGCUAAUGGAUGUCUGGAAAGGUCCUGCAAGCCUGGCUAGGGAGGCAAUCACUAGCAUCUCACUGCUGUGACCAAAUCCUGGCUUAGAUGAUGUUUGUGUCUGAUAAAUCUCCGCAGGCAAAACUCCUUGGUCUAGCAGUUUGACUCCUAAUUAAAUAUUUACCACGAUGGCACCUCGCCCUGCCUCAAGAAAUAUCAUCCUUUCACCUCCGCGUGGCUUUCACCUCUUUUGCAAUGCCGCAGUUUAAGGAGAGCUGUUUAAAGACUCGGCUCCAAUAAAACGGAGGAAAGCAAUUCUCUCUCCACCUUUCCAAUCUCUCUCCGUUUUCCCCAUCUGUGAAUAAAGUUCACUAGAGGCCCUGGAGCUCCCGCUUCUCAAAAAGUGAAGGGCUCUCGCAGGAGGGCUGGAAGUCUCCCCAUCAGGCAGGAUGAUAUCUCCUUUCAACAGCAAUCAAAGAGAACAGCUACCCGGGGAGGGAGCUGGAGCAGCACAGCUCCCCAGGGAGAGCAGCACGGAUGAUGGAAAUGUCACCCCGUGGAUCCGCAGGCACUGGGGGAGAGCCGGAGAAGGGACCUGGGGGGAGCAGGUCGGGCUGGGGGGGCUGCUGUGUGGGGUCACCAGUCACCCAGGGGUGGCUGUUUGGGAUGGAUGCAUCAUUCAGAGAGGCUGAGCUGUUGGGGAAGGGGGUUUGUUUUAUCCUGAUUUUAACUAUUUGCUGCAGAAUUCUCUUUUGGGUGGACCGAGCAUCUUCCCCUCCGUUGGGGCAGGGGAAAAACGAUGUCUGGUUUGAACCCAUCUGAAUUGAAGCAGAACCACGACGAAGCUGCUGUGGGGGUCCCCCGUGUCAGCCAGAGCCCGUGUCUCAGUGGCACGGCCCUGAGGGACCCCAGGUUGCCCACCACCCUCCUCUGACCCCAGGCAGUAGCAGCCCCCAUGCCACCGCUGACCUUUGAGAUGAGGCUGUGCAGGGUGGAAUGUGCUGGACCGUCCCAUUGCCACGGGGACCUGCCUGCAUCUGCUAAUUGCUGCAGCCUCUUGGGUCCCCCCCCGCCUCCCGCCAUCCCCCCCCUCCCCAAUUUCCAUCCGUCUGCCGAGCCAGCACAAAGCUGGCCAGACCCUGCUCCUGCGUAAUCCUGCCCCAGAGCCCAUGGGCUGGGUGACACUACCUGCAAACCAAGGGCUUUCCCCCGUCCUCCUGCCUCUUGGGGCUCUUUCACAUAGAUAAAAAUCAAAAUUAGUGGUUUCAGAGCCCCUGCAACCCCCUGUCCCCCAUACGCGCCUGCACCCCCUGCAUUUAUUUUGCAGCAAGGCUGUACAAGGAGUCGAUGCAUCUCCAUUGCCCCGCUUCCCGUGCUGGCCUGGGUUUAUCUCCUUCCAAUUAAAUAAGUGCAGAUAGUGGGUUUAAUAAGGCCCUGCCUAUGAAAGAUUACUAAUGAUUUCAUUUCCAACAUGUCGUGAAUUAUGAGGCAGCCCGCAAAACAAAGCCGAGUGGGGACGGGCUUGGCAGCUAAUUACUGUCCCCCACGCUGCCACCGCUGCUAGCCGGGCCUCUAAUUGCUCCCUCUGCCUGAUUGCAUUUUGCUGGUGGUUGUGGUUCAUUCGCAGCUCUUGCUUGGCAUUCGGCUGUUGCUGCUUCUCUCUGUGCCUGUUGUGUCCCCCCCCCCCUUCAAGUUUAUUAAUGAGAACCUUAUCUGUCUGUGCAGAUAAUGCCAGAAAUAAUUAGUACUCAGUGAGGUCUGUCAGGCUCCUCUCCUCUCCUACCCCCCUGCCCUGAUCUCAUUGCUAUUUGCAGUUUCCUGGGUGCUUCGUUAAGUCUCGGGAGGGUUUUUGGGGGUUGGUUUAGACCUUUCUCACCCCGUGCAGCUUUCAGCCUUCCUGGCUGCCCCAGGCUUGGGGCUGUGCUGGGAAAUCUCUGGAGGGGAUGCUGGGGAGAAGGGGACCGGCUGCAUCCGUGAUCCCUGCUUAAAACCAUCCAAGCGUUCCUUGCCCAGGGCAAACGGGAUGCGCGUGGGGAGCUGCA